rnacentral:rRNA from 1 species
UACGUAGGGGGGCAAGCGUUGUCCGGAUUUAUUGGGCGUAAAGAGCGUGUAGGCGGCCAGGUAGGUCAGCUGUGAAAACUCGAGGCUCAACCUCGAGACGUCGGUUGAAACCACCUGGCUAGAGUCCGGAAGAGGAGAGUGGAAUUCCUGGUGUAGCGGUGAAAUGCGCAGAUAUCAGGAAGAACACCCGUGGCGAAGGCGGCUCUCUGGGACGGUACUGACGCUGAGACGCGAAAGCGUGGGGAGCGAACAGG